UUGAAAGUAAUUUCUUUAAUAGAAAUCCAAACUGAUGAUGAAUUUUUAAACUUUCUUUUCAUUCUGUGACCGCUAAGAGGGCCAGUUUUGUAUAUUCAUCGUAAAUUCGGCCCAUAAUGCUGAUGGCCAGGUGGUGAGGGACGAGGACCCUACAUAUCUGGCACAGAUCAUCAUGAAAAAAUUGAUGAGUAGACACUCGUCCGGAUUCGAUUUCGAGUCCCCAAAACUGUUGAAGUCAUUAUUCCAGCCUCCCUUUGAUCUGAUGCAAGAAAACAACAGUUCAUGAUCAUGUUGGAAAAAUUUAUAUAUGCUUCAUCCAUGAUUCAAAUUCAGCACCUCAAGAACUACAGUACUAUGAACUACAGAAACUCUGGAUCCAAAGCUAAUACAACAACUAUAUAAAUCAUGUUUUGAAAAAACUGUGAAAAAAAUUUUUGGAAAAGAAUUCCCAUUGAAAAAACAUUACUUUUAACGCUAUCUGCUGUCAUGUGCAUAACCAAAGAAGUUACAGUCUUAAAUAUAUAAUUUCUAUGCAAAUAACUAGUUUAGGUUUCUAAAAGUGUUUAAUG